rnacentral:rRNA from 1 species
ACGUAGGAGGCAAACGUUAUCCGGAUUUACUGGGCGUAAAGCGCGUGUAGGUGGUUCUGUAAGUAGGGCGUGAAAGCUCCUGGCUCAACUGGGAGAGGCCGUUCUAAACUGCAGAGCUAGAGGAUGGUAGAGGGAGGUGGAAUUCCGGGUGUAGCGGUGGAAUGCGCCGAUAUCCGGAGGAAAGACAGUGAAGAAAGCGGACCCCUGUGCAAUUCCUGACCCUCAGACGGGCAAGCUAGGUUACCAAACGG